CCAGCGGGCCGGGUGGCCGCUCCUCGCUUCGGCGAGGGGAGGAAAGUCCGAACUCCACAGGGCAGGGUGCCGGCUAACGGCCGGGCGUCGCGAGGCGACGGAAAGUGCCACAGAGACAAACCGCCCGCCUCGGCGGGUAAGGGUGAAAUGGUGCGGUAAGAGCGCACCGGCGUCGUGGAGACACGGCGGCCGGGCAAACCCCACCCGGAGCAAGGCUACAUAGGGGACCGUCUCGCCGCGGCGAGUAAGGACGGCCCGUCCGAGAGUCCCGGGUCAGCCGCUUGAGCUGCGGGGCAACUCGCAGCCCAGAUAGAUGGCCACCGCCCGCAAGGGUACAGAAUUCGGCUUACAGGCCCGCUGGCACA
rnacentral:RNase_P_RNA from 1 species